CUCAGCACUCAGGCACUCAGAGAAAGGCUGGUCUCUGGGCUUGAGUGAGAAUAACAGAAAUUUCAACCAGGAGAAGAAUUUCUAUCAUGCUCUGCCCUGGUCUGCUGUGGGCAUUCUUGGCUGCCUUUGGCUUCAGAUCCAGCAUGGCUCAGAAAGUAACCCCAGCUCAGACUAUAAUAACAAGGAAUGAAGGAGAAACUGUGACCAUGAGGUGGAAGUAUGAAACCAGUAGGAGCAAUUAUUAUACUUUGUUCUGGUACAAACAGCCUCCCAGUGGAGAGAUGGCUUAUCUUAUUCAUCAGGAUCAUUCGAAGCCAGAUGUAAAGCAGGAUCGCUUCUCUGUGAACUUUCAAAGAGAAGAAAAAUUCAUCAGCCUCACCAUCUCUUCCUUACAACUGUCAGACUCAGGAGUCUACUUCUGUGCUCUCUGGGGUCCCACAGUAAUAGAAAUGAUGGUGGAAGGUAAUCAAAAACCUUAGAGCUCCAUCAAUGCUGCCACCUGCUCAGAGGCUUGGGGAAAACCCAUGAACCACAGACAGGAAGAAGCCAGGCACUGUGGAACCACAGCUGAGACCUUCUAAUG